CGCGGAGUGGAGCAACCCGGUAGCUCGUCGGGCUCAUAACCCGAAGGUUGUAGGUUCAAAUCCUGCCUCCGCAACCA
rnacentral:tRNA from 4 species